rnacentral:lncRNA from 1 species
GAGACAACCACGGCUAAAGAAAUCUAUUCACAUAUUUUUUUUAAAGUAAUAUCCCUGGUUGUUGUGUAGCUCUCAGCAAGGACCAGGUGCUUCCUGCACAUUGACAAGCUGCUUCUUGGAGAAGAAAGAGUGCUCUGGAAAUUUACAGAUGAAAGGGAAAAGAAAACGUCAUCAUGGUCAGUAAUGCUCCUGGUUGUUGUCUAGCUCUCAGCAAGGACCAGGUGCUUGCUGCAGAUUGACAACAAGCUGCUUCUUGGAGAAGGAGUGCUCUGGAAAUCUGCAGAUGAAAGGAAAAAGAAAAUGCCGGCAGAGACGGCGGCAGAGGCAGCGGCAGAAGCGGCAGCGCGAGCGGGAACAGCAACUGCUUCAGCAGCGCCAGCAGCAGCAGCAGCAGCAGCAGCAGCAGCAGCAACAGCAACAGCAGCAACUGCUGCAACUGCAGCUGCAGCAGCAGUGCCAGCAGCAGCAGCAGCAGCAGCAGCAGUGCCAGCAGCAGCAGUGCCAGCAGCAGCAGCAGUGCCAGCAGCAGCAGCAGUUCCAGCAGGAGCAGCAACAACAGCAGCAGCAACAGCAGCAGCAGCAGCAGCAGCAGCAGCAGCAGCAGUGCCAGCAGCAGCAGCAGCAGCAGCAGAGGAGAAGGAGAAAAAACAGGAGGAGCAGGAGGAGCGGGAAGA